rnacentral:rRNA from 1 species
UACGUAGGGUGCAAGCGUUGUCCGGAAUUAUUGGGCGUAAAGAGCUCGUAGGCGGUUUGUCGCGUCUGCUGUGAAAUCCCGAGGCUCAACCUCGGGCCUGCAGUGGGUACGGGCAGACUAGAGUGCGGUAGGGGAGAUUGGAAUUCCUGGUGUAGCGGUGGAAUGCGCAGAUAUCAGGAGGAACACCGAUGGCGAAGGCAGAUCUCUGGGCCGAUACUGUCGCUGAGGAGCGAAAGCGUGGGGAGCGAACAGG